UAGGGCCUAAACCGAUAUAUAUAUAUAUAUAUAUAUAUACAUACCUAUUAUAAGACUUCAGCGGACGUAAAAUAUUUAUAGACCACCGUUAGGCAGACGUAAAAAUUAGGCUGACGUUUUUAAGUCUGCCCAAUUUUCUACUUGUAAAAUGAAAUUAUGUACUUAACUUUUGAGUAAAAUGUGUUUUCUUUCCUUAAAUUUAGAAUCUAAACUUUACAUUUCGGGCAAAAAGAUUUCAUUUUAUUCAUAAAAGUGUAAAUUCUAGAGUUGUUAAAAACUAGCGUGUAUUAUUUUGGCAAUAUACGUUUCACGACUUGUGUAGACAUUUUUCAAAUGGGCAUCACAAACGAAAGCGGAAAUAUAUUUAAAUUUCGUUUGAUUUUUUCCUUAUUCUGAACCACUAGGUGUCAGAUUAUUUAGAUUAAUAUUUUUAAAGAUGGUAUUUAAAAAUUUUGAAUUUUCCAACACCGUGAUUUUUUUGUUGCGUUCUGUUUUGCUGUUAUGUUACGGAAAUGAACUUCGGGAACCUUCGGAGACACCCGGAAAGGAUCCAGCGUCUGCGAAGAUGUUGUCACGUAGGAGGAAAGUGUCGAUUGGGUUAAGACUGAUCUGUACAAAAGUGGCUUUUCUGUUGGACACAUUUCAAAAUACAAUGGAGGAACAAUCCUGCACAUUAUUUGUGGAAAUGGAAGAGUUAGAGGCAGAACAGGAGGAACGAUCAUGAACAUCAUUAGUUGAAAUGGAAGAGUUAGAGGCAGAACAGUCAUUUCACCCAAGGAGGCAUGCAUAUGGAUUUAGGCUGUGAAAAAGAACCCCAAACAAAAUGGCGGCUUGUGAAUUAGAUAAAGUUUCUGAGUGUAGGAUCUGAACGGAGAAUAGGAAUACUGCAUCCCAUCUGACCCUGCAGGAAGAAAGACCUCUGGCAAAGACAAGAACAAAGGAGGGAGAACAUUUUUGGAAAUUUAUGCAAUCUUCAGUGUGUUUGGACACAGGAGCUAUGAUAUCCAUCCAUUCUGGUUGCCUCGGGAUCGAUUCUUGUGAAGAUAGAAAAUUGGAAAUUCAAAUGUUGGUUAUUUUACACUUUAAAAAUGCUGACUGCUUAGUCCAAUAUCUUGAUAAAUCUAGUCUUUUGUGAUUUUUCAGGCAAAUUAAAUCUCCAACACAUGUAUACAUUUUUGAUAAAUUACCCCAAGGACCCUAUAUUUUUUCAAAAGCAAUAUAUAUCUGAAGUAAAUAAAACCAUUUUUGUUGGGUCACACAAUGAAUAGAAAAGACAGAUGUAGUGCUUAUAUCAUGGAAUUUCUGUAAACAGAUGAUAUUUUUUACACAGGUUUUAGCUCACCUGAGCCAAAAGCUCAAUUAAGCUUUUCUGAUCAAAAUUUGUCCGUUGUCUGUCGUUGUCGUAAACUUUUCACGUUUUCGACUUCUUCUCAAGAACCGCUGGCCAAUUUCAACCAAAUUUGUCACAAAGCAUCCUUGGGUGAAGGACUUUCAAGUUUGUUCAAAUUAAGGGCCAUGUCCCGUUCAAAGGGAAGAUAAUCACAAAAAUGCAAAAAUAGGGUGGGGUCAUUUAAAAAUCUUCUUGUCAAGAACCACUGGACCAGAAAAGCUGAAAUUUACAUGAAAGUUUCCUGAUAUAGUGCAGAUUCAAGUUUGUUCAAAUCAUGGCCCCCGGGGAUUGGAUGGGGCCACAAUAGGGGAUUAAAGUUUUACAUACUGAUAUAUAGGAUAAAUCUUUAAAAUUCUUCUUCUCAAGAACUACUGAGCCAGAAAAGCUGAGAUUUACAUGAAAGCUAUCUGACAUAAUGCAAAUUCAAGAUUGUUCAAAUCAUGGCUCCUGGGGUAUGAUGGGGCCACAUUAGGGGAUCAAAGUUUUACAUACGAAUAUAUAAGGAAAAUCUUCUCAAGAACCACUGAGCCAGAAAAGCUGAGAUUUACAUGAAAGCUCUCCGACAUAUAUUUCAGAUUUCAGUUUGUUAAAAUCAUGGCCCCCAGGGUAGGAUGGGGUCACAAGGGGGAUCAAAGUUUUACUUACAAAUAUAUAGGGAAAAUCUUUAAAUAUGAGCUAAAGUGACUCAGGUGAGUGAUGUGGCCCUUGGGCCUCUUGUUUAAAGCCUUUCAUAAUUACCAAAUUUAAAAAUUGGUCUGAAACUGGAAGGUACAAACGAAUCCAUUACCAUUUUGAAUAUUCAUAACCUAGUAUGUUCUGUUGACAUGUUUUGUUUAGAAUUUUGUUCAGAGAAAUGUAGUUCAAAUGAUCACAAAAUAUACACUGUCAUUGGUUUUGGUAUACAUAUAAAACGUAAAUCCUGGUUUACCAUGUUCAUAAUAUAUGCCAUGUAAUAGAACUAAGUGCUCUGUUGUUUAAACUGUGUAUUGUUAUAGGAUUUUCGUUUAGUGUUUAUGACUAUCUCAUGUGAGCAUUACUGCCUAUGAUAUUUUCUCUUUAAAUAUAAUUGUUUUGAAAAUAUGUUGAUAAAUGACCACUACAGUUUGAUUCAUAUGUAUAUUAUCUGAGUUCAGAAUGUUCUCUUGCGUUUUGUCUUAUUGAGAUGAUAUAUUGUGCUCUUUGACUUAAUGAUGCUGCUUUAAGGCAUAAUUGUUGGACCUAUAGUGUAUUCAUUUUCAAAUGUAUUGAAAUCUAAUUUUUGAUAAUAAUGAGGCAAUGCUAUACUUGUUAGGGUAGUAAUGCACCAGUAAUUCAAAUGUACAUUGAUGUCUUACCCGAAUGUUUUUAUUUGGUUACAAUUUUGGUUUUUGAUAAGAAUUUUAGGUCAUAUAAGUAAUCUCUGGUGACCUGUCUUCUGAGUAAAUUCAGGUAACAAUUGAACAUUUUGUAAGAAAAACGUAUGCAUAGUCAGGUAGAGGAGGAAGGCCUUUACUAAAAAUGUAGAUGUCGUAAUCCUUGGGGUAGGGUUUCUGACUCUGGGGUAAGACCAAACUUGGUAUACAUAGUGCAUAUGUGUUAAAGGCAUAGGAUCUAUCUUUUAUCUCAAAAAUGACAUCACAAUAUUUUGCAAGAAGAACUCCAAAAAACAAAUUUGUAGUAUUAAUUAUGAGUUAUCUAUAGCUGCAGCGCUUUGAAAUUUAAGUCAUUUUGACGUUUUAGCCCUAUUUAAAAUUUUUGUCAGGAGGACAAUAUAUUAAACUGGUACCCCACUGAUUGUUGGCUACACACAAACAUAAGAGAUGCGAAAUCAACAGGGUACCAAUUUAGGCAAAUGAGAACAAGGAAUUAUUUUGUAAUUACUAUCGUUAUCCAAUGUGUUUGUAAACAUUCUGAAGAACUUUGUGUGAUUUUCUAGUUAAUAUGAUCUUAAAUUUCGCCACCUUUUUGGAACAUGCAACAUUUCACCAAUAUCUUAGACCCUAUGCCUUUAAGGUAAUUCCACCCCUGUAGAAUUAUAGGUUCAAUCUUAUAUUUGAUUAAUGAUUAUCUUAGUAACAAAUAAAAAUAAUAAGAUAAGUAUGUUGCAGCAUUGAUAAAAAGAUUUAUCAAUUAGCACGCAUAUACCUGUUAUUGAUGUCAGAAAAUUACAAUUGUCAUUAAAUACAUUUCAUUAUCACAAAAACUUGUUAAAACGAUAUAAUGGUAUUCAUAACAAUUUCAUGAAACUGUUUCUUAAAAAAAAUAUACAAUAUGUUUGUGAAAAGUAAAAGAUGUCUAUGCAUAAAAAAUUGAUAAAUAAUUUAAUGAAAAAGGAGUUAUUACCCUUGGAUUCGGUAUUUCGAAACUCAUACGUGACUUUUGAAAUAUCUUAUGGUUAACAAGAUAUUUUACAAUAACAAUUGAAAAAGACUUCAACAAAAUUUAUGUUCCCAUCAUGCAUAAAUCUUAUCAAAUCAUUGACUUUGCGAAAUCUUAUGACAUCACAGGAGAGUGGAACUACGUUACACAAUUAUAAAAUAUCUUUUUAGCUCACUUGAGCUGAAAGAUCAAGUGAGCUUUUCUGAUCGCUUUUUAUUCGUCGUCUGUCUGUUAAACAUUUACAUUUUCAACUUCUUCUCCAAACCCACUGGGCCAAUUUUAACCAAUGUUGGCACAAAUCAUCUUUGGGUGAAGGGGAAUCAAAUUUUUUCAAAUGAGGGCCAACCCCCUUAUCCAAGGGGAGAUAAUAGCAAAUCAGUAAAAACACACUGAAAUUUUUUUAAAAUCUUCUCCUCCAGAACCAGUAAGCCAUUUUCAUUCAAACUUAAUGCAAAUCAUCCUUAGUUGAAGGGAAUUCAAAAUUGUUCAAAUUAAGGGCCAGGUUUUCUUCAAGGGGGAGAUAAUCACAAAAGUGUAAAAAUAGGGUGGGGUCAUUUAAAAAUCUUCUUCUCAUGAACCACUGUGCCAGUAUAGUUCAAAUUUACAUGGAAGCUUCCUGACAUAAUGCAGAUUCAAGUUGUUCAUAUCAUGGCCCCCAGGGGUCGGGUGGGGCCACAAUAGGGGAAACCAUAUUUUAUAUGUGUUUAUAUAGGAAAAAUCUUUUAAAAUCUUCUUCUCAAGAACCAUUGAGCCAGAAGAGUUCAACUUUACAUGGAAGCUUCCUGACAUAAUGCAGAUUCAAAUUUGUUCAUAUCAUGGCCGCUGGGGGUCGGGUGGGGCCACACUAGGGGAAACCACAUUUUAUAUGUAUUUAUAUAGGAAAAAUCUUCUUCUCAAGAACCAUUGAGCCAGAAGAGUUCAAAUUUACAUCGAAGUUUCCUGACAUAGUUCAGAUUCAAGUUUGAAGCUUUAUGACAUAGUUCAAAUUCAAGUUUGUUGAAAUCAUGGCCCCCGGGGUGUCAGGUUUUGCCACAAUAAGGGAAACCGUAUUUCCUAUGAGUAAAUAUAUGAUAACUCAGGUGAGCGAUGUGGCCCAUGGGCCUCUUGUUUAAAGGUUGAUAUUAACAUGAAACUAAAUUAAUAUGCGGUAGUCCUUAACCAAAAUUGUAAAAUACAUGAUUUCCUGGACAAGGGUUUAGUUUCCAGGAUAAGGCCAAGAUUAUAGUAGCAACUAUUGUCUUUAUUGUGAUAUGGUAAAUAACUAAAUGCAUGCUUAUUAGAAGCAGAACAGGAUAUACCAAAGUGGUGAUUUACACAACCCCAGGGUUUUGACUGUACACAGGUCCAAAGUAGUCAUAUUAUUUAAUGUUGUAUAUAAAACGUCUCCUUAUUAGUGAAAUAUUCUCGAGAAGGACGUUAAACAAUACACAAUCAUCUGGACUGUAUAGACACUUUCAGGGCAUUUAAGUUUUAUGAACACAUCUUGUUUUAUUCUGUUUUGUAUGUUAGGAUUUAAUUUAGGUAUGCAGAACAGGAAUUUUUCUCAAGAUUUCAUAAUCCUUGGGACUAGUGAUACUUUUAAUUAAUUCUCAUGUACCCAAUAAGGCCUGUGGGCCUUUUAUUUCAUGAAAUGCAUUAAAUUCUGAUUGAUAUGUCUUUUGUAAUUUUUCAUGAAAUGGAUGAAAAUCCUGUAUGUUUUAUUAAUAUUUGACCAGCAACCAUACUUGAAAAUGAUUUGUAUGACAUGCCAGUUUUUGUUACAAAGUAACAAUUAUAUAAUGAAUAAAUUUCAUGUUAAAGUUAA